rnacentral:tRNA from 1 species
AGCAGAGUGGCACAGUGGAAGCGUGCUGGGCUCAUAACCCAGAGGUCCGUGUAUCGAAACCCCGCUCUGCUG